CGAUGGCAACACUUACCGAGGAACAGUUUCCGUGACACUAUCGGGGAAGGCUUGUCAGAUGUGGUCUGCCCAGACUCCACAUGAACACAGUAAUUCUCCAGAAAAGCACCCAUCCAAAGGCCUUGAAGGAAACUACUGCAGAAAUCCUGAUGGUGAGGAUGGUCCCUGGUGCUACACAACAGACUCUGCAACUAGGUGGGAGUACUGCGAGGUGCCGAGGUGUCCAAAUCAAGCUGAAAAUGUAGCAACAGGAAAACCAACAACUCUCCAAUCCACUGAAUCCAACCAUGCCUCCGACUUGGCUCUUGAUGGAGAUCCAGACACCUUCGCUCUCAGCCAGGUGUCCA